UACGAACCGUGCGAACGUUAUUCGGAAUCACUGGGCUUAAAGCGCGUGUAGGCGGGGCGGCACGUCCGUCGCUGAAAUCCCCCGGCUCAACCGGGGAACUGGCGGGGAUACGACCGUCCUGGAGGGACGUAGGGGGACCUGGAACUUCCGGUGGAGCGGUGAAAUGCGUUGAGAUCGGAAGGAACGCCCGUGGCGAAAGCGAGGUCCUGGACGUUUUCUGACGCUGAGACGCGAAAGCCAGGGGAGCGAACGGG
rnacentral:rRNA from 1 species